rnacentral:lncRNA from 1 species
GUCGACAGCAAAUUAACAAGUGCCCGAUACGGGAAUUCCAAAAUUCUAAUUCAAGCUGAUACGGAAAUUCCAAAAUUCUGAUUCAAGCUGCGAGCGCCAUCUAUGGCCAUGCCGAAUAUGGCAAUGAGCUACAGACUGCAACACCCACGCACCCACACAAAUAUUCGAUUGAAUUAAACCAGAUUAUUGAAAAUAUAAAAUUUUUAUAAUCUCUAUUAUUUAAA